UACGUAGGGAGCAAGCGUUGUCCGGAAUCAUUGGGCGUAAAGCGCGCGUAGGCGGCCUCAUAAGUCCGUUGUGAAAGUCAAAGGCUCAACCUUUGAAAGCCGAUGGAUACUGUGAGGCUAGAGUCCGGAAGAGGCGAGUGGAAUUCCUGGUGUAGCGGCGGAAUGCGCAGAUAUCAGGAGGAACACCAAUAGCGAAGGCAGCUCGCUGGGACGGUACUGACGCUAAGGCGCGAAAGCGUGGGGAGCGAACAGG
rnacentral:rRNA from 1 species